rnacentral:rRNA from 1 species
GAGAGGAAGGUCCCCCACAUUGGAACUGAGACACGGUCCAAACUCCUACGGGAGGCAGCAGUGAGGAAUAUUGGUCAAUGGACGAGAGUCUGAACCAGCCAAGUAGCGUGCAGGAUGACGGCCCUAUGGGUUGUAAACUGCUUUUAUAAGGGAAUAAAGUGAGUCUCGUGAGACUUUUUGCAUGUACCUUAUGAAUAAGGACCGGCUAAUUCCGUGCCAGCAGCCGCGGUAAUACGGAAGGUCCGGGCGUUAUCCGGAUUUAUUGGGUUUAAAGGGAGCGUAGGCCGGAGAUUAAGCGUGUUGUGAAAUGUAGACGCUCAACGUCUGCACUGCAGCGCGAACUGGUUUCCUUGAGUACGCACAAAGUGGGCGGAAUUCGUGGUGUAGCGGUGAAAUGCUUAGAUAUCACGAAGAACUCCGAUUGCGAAGGCAGCUCACUGGAGCGCAACUGACGCUGAAGCUCGAAAGUGCGGGUAUCGAACAGGAUUAGAUACCCUGGUAGUCCGCACGGUAAACGAUGGAUGCCCGCUGUUGGUCUGAAUAGGUCAGCGGCCAAGCGAAAGCAUUAAGCAUCCCACCUGGGG